rnacentral:rRNA from 1 species
AGAGUUUGAUCCUGGCUCAGGACGAACGCUGGCGGCGUGCCUAACACAUGCAAGUGGAGCGACGGAUCCGGGUUUUGGCCUGGGGCAAAGCCGCGAACGGGUGAGUAACACGUGGGUAACCUGCCCGGAUGAUCGGGACAACCCGAGGAAACUCGGGCUAAUACGGAAUGUGCCCUCCGGCCACAAGGGCCGCGGGGAAAGGAAGCUUCGGCCUCCGCAUCGGGAUGGGCCCGCGGCCCAUUAGCUUGUUGGUGAGGUAAUGGCUCACCAAGGCUACGAUGGGUAGCUGGUCUGAGAAGACGAUCAGCCACACUGGGACUGAGACACGGCCCAGACUCCUACGGCAGGCAGCAGUGGGGAAUCUUGCGCAAUGCGCGAAAGCGUGACGCAGCAACGCCGCGUGGGGGAAGACGGCCUUCGGGUUGUAAACCCCUUUCAGUUGGGACGAAGCUCUGCCGGUGAACAGCUGGUUGGAGUAACGGUACCUUCAGAAGAAGCCCCGGCUAACUACGUGCCAGCAGCCGCGGUAAUACGUAGGGGGCAAGCGUUGUCCGGAAUCAUUGGGCGUAAAGAGCGUGUAGGCGGCUCGAUAAGUCUGCUGUGAAAGUCCAGGGCUCAACCCUGGAAAGCCGGUGGAAACUGUCGGGCUAGAGUCCGGAAGAGGCGAGUGGAAUUCCUGGUGUAGCGGUGAAAUGCGCAGAUAUCAGGAGGAACACCAAUGGCGAAGGCAGCUCGCUGGGACGGUACUGACGCUGAGACGCGAAAGCGUGGGGAGCAAACAGGAUUAGAUACCCUGGUAGUCC